CGAAUUUAAAGUCAACAACUGUAAAUGUGAUGAAAUAUGACAAUAACACGUCUAGUCAACCGAAUUGUUUGACUACAGGGGCUUCCCAAACGGUGUAAUUUAACAACUUUCGUAGAUCGCUAGCUACUGUAGCCUGCUGCUGCACAGGCAAGUUAGCGUUGGCUAUACAUUAUUUUUCUGUCAGCCAUUGAUGCCACUCGGUGAGUAUAUGAGGUAAUUGUGCUUAAUUUGCAACGAAUGAUGACUAAAUGUGAUGAAAUAUGACAAUAACACGUCUAGCCAACCGACUUGUUUGACUACAGGGGCUACCCAAAUUGUGUAAUUUAACAACGUUCGUAAAUCGCUAGCUACUGUAGGUGGACAAAACUCAAAGUUUAUUUGACCACUGACAAUCCUGUAAAACCUUAGCUAACAUCUAUAUCAACUAAAAUUUGGAAUUCUAUACUAUUUAAUUGUAUAUUUUCUUUAGUUUUUUGAUGGCAUGCAUUUGAAGUGUAUGUAGUUGAAUGAAUUGUAUUGAUGGACAUUGGGGGCAAACGUGUCUUUCUAUGUAAACUGAAUUUAACUGCAAAUGAAAUAAUAAUCAUCCUACCCAUAACCCCCAAACCCCCCACUGCUGUCCUCCUCCUAGCAGACCUAUCAAGCAAACGUAAGUUCCUUUAUAUGAAUCUAAUACAUACGGUUAUGCUGUUCCUUGUCACUGCACUCAUCAGUCAUGAUAAUAGUAUUUUUCUUGCCUCCUAAGAUGGAAAAUCCAAGGUUCCGUUUCUCGCCCUCACAGGAGUUGGUCCUCAAGGCCACACACCCCAGGCAGUAUGCAGGAGGCGAGACAACUGUGUCCAAUUUGGCCUAGUGUUUAAUAUCUUAACAAUGUGGAGUAAUUAUAGUUGAUGAAUUUACCUCAGCACUUUCUGAGGAGGGCCUUGGAGGCAGGAAGGACUGCCAGGAGGGCAAGGCCCUUGUCGGCAUCGGGAAGUACAAGUGGGACUCACUACAGGACCUGUAUGAGGCUACGGGUGCAGACAGGAUAAAAUAUAUGUCAGGAGCUUGAGGGCGCAGACACCCCGUUAUCCUGGGAGUGCAAUGGCCGCCUUGAUUGGCUACAUUCAGCGCAUAGACCAGGAGGGGGUAGCUGCUGUGGCCAGGCCCGCCCCAGCCAGCACCACCCCUGCCAACACCAUCCGGCCCAAGAGUGCGGCUACGUAAGUGUAGGGACCUGACCCUGAUUGAUACAUGUUAUUUGAACGAACGCAUUCAUUUUGGGGGUAAUUGCUUUUCUUUUAAUGAACUUAAGUUGUAUUGAUAUUUUAUUGUUUGGAUUGUUUAUUUUUGUAAGAUAAACAAAAUGUAUGGACUAGAAAAAAAUAAAAUCACCUUUGGGGAACUGCCUGUUCAGAACUGGAAGCCACCAUGGACAUGUCAGGUGUGGAGGUGGGUCCUUGUAUUUCCCAGCAUUAUUUGUUUUUUGUGUGUGUUACAACUCUGUAAACCGUGUGUUUGACUAAUAAAAUGACAUAUUUA